rnacentral:tRNA from 1 species
AGGUCAGAGGAGAAAGAGCGCCGCCCUUACAAGGCGGAUGUCGGCGGUUCGAAACCGUCCACGCCCA